GAGUGGUUAAGGCGAAAGAUUAGAAAUCUUUUGGGCUCUGCGCGCAGUUCGAGUCCUGCAGUUGUCG
rnacentral:tRNA from 1 species